CCUACGGGAGGUAGCAGUGAGGAAUAUUGGUCAAUGGUCGAGAGACUGAACCAGCCAAGCCGCGUGAGGGAGGAAGGUACAGCGUAUCGUAAACCUCUUUUGUCAGGGAACAAAGACUGGCACGCGUCCCCGGAUGAGUGUACCUGAAGAAAAAGCAUCGGCUAACUCCGUGCCCGCCGCCGCGGUAAUAAGGAGGAUGCGAGCGUUAUCCGGGUUUAUUGGGUUUAAAGGGUUCGCAGGCGGUCUGUUAAGUCAGCGGUAAAAGCCCGGGGCUCAACCCCGGCCCGCCGUUGAAACUGGCAGUCUUGAGUGGGAGAGAAGUAUGCGGAAUGCGCGGUGUAGCGGUGAAAUGCAUAGAUAUCGCGCAGAACUCCGAUUGCGAAGGCAGCAUGCCGGCUCCACACUGACGCUGAGGCACGAAAGCGUGGGUAUCGAACAGGAUUAGAUACCCGAGUAGUC
rnacentral:rRNA from 1 species